rnacentral:rRNA from 1 species
CCGCCGGUGUUGUUGUGAGAAGUUCAUUAAACCUUAUCAUUUAGAGGAAGGAGAAGUCGUAACAAGGUUUCCGUAGGUGAACCUGCGGAAGGAUCAUUGAACACACGAUCUCGAGAAAACCCUGUGAAUCGUUGCUUGUCUCACGAGGGAUCGUGCCCGGAGGCACGAUCGUCGAUGUCGGAGUUCGGAUUCAUGUGCUUUCGCCGUGAUCCUCCCGUUGGUGCGUGGCGGGAACGAGUGACUCCGGUUUCAUCGUCGGAAGACCCCCGACACGCGUGAUCUUGGGUCUUGCGGGACUCGAAGUCGGGAGUGCGUCCCCUCCUCCGAAGAGAGGGAAUCCUCCCCGGUCAGGCUCUCGCUUUGCGGGAGCGGCUCGAAUCGGAUCCCUCUCUCUCGGUGCCCUUUUUUUCCCCUCCCUUUUCGGGAAGAACAUGGUGAAACGAAUGUUGGUGGACUGAACGGGACCCGGGAUUGUCAUGGCGGGACUCCGCCGUGCUAUCUCGAGUCCUCAGGAAAGCAAAAAAUACAAAAUGACUCUCAGCAACGGAUAUCUUGGCUCUUGCAACGAUGAAGAACGCAGCGAAAUGCGAUACCUAGUGUGAAUUGCAGAAUUCCGCGAAUCAUCGAGUUUUUGAACGCAAGUUGCGCCCGAGGCUCGUUCCGAGGGCAUGCCUGCCUGAGCGUCCGCUCCGACCCACCCACCGAAACCUUCCUCCCCUUCCAGGGCUCGGAAGAUCAGAGUGCGAGUGGAAUUGGUCGUCCGGGAACCCGUCCGUCAGGCAGUGGCGGUCGAAGGGUUCGCGGUUGGCUGAAAUAGAGCAGCCGUCCGUCAAGCGCGUGCUUGGGGUUAUAAAGGGCGCGUCGCGAGAAGGUGCCGUUCUCUCCUGCACUGGAGAUGGACGUUGGUAACAAAGCGUCGUGCCUCCCCGUUGGAGUGUCGGGACUUGGCGGAUCGGUGAGAAUACGCAUGGGAAGCGCGAAGGCUUAUUGCAUUCUCCAGCGCGUCUUCGUCUCCUAGACGAAGAGCGCGCUCGGGUGACGCAAAGUCUGAACGCGACGUUGUUCGGACCUCAGAUCAGACAAGACCACCCGCUGAGUUUAAGCAUAUCACUAAGCGGAGGAAAAGAAACUAACAAGG